UAUAUAUAGGUAAUUGGGUGUGCGGGUUGUGAUAAGGUCCAAAUAAUUGAAGUCCACCUUAUCACAACCCGCACACCCGAUUACCUA